rnacentral:tRNA from 1 species
CAGGGAGACAAUAAAUUGAUUGUGAUGUCUAAGUUUUUUAUUCUUAGGCCGCAAUCCUGUCACCUUAAGGUCGAUCGGUACCUCAGAUUUUAGAAUUAGUUUUAUUAUUUUUUCUUUAAUUUCAGUUCCUAAACUUGUCUAGGUCACACCCAACAAAGGUUUCUCCUGGGCCAUUAGCUCAGGUGGUUAGAGCGCACCCCUGAUAAGGGUGAGGUCCCUGGUUCAAGUCCAGGAUGGCCCAUUCGUUGUUGGGGGUAUAGCUCAGUUGGUAGAGCGCCUGCUUUGCAAGCAGGAUGUCAGCGGUUCGAGUCCGCUUACCUCCACUGAAAACUAUCCUGAUAACUAAAUUCUGGAGAAAAAUUGUAGAUGUGGCUUAGAAUUGUCUAUUGAAAAGAACCUAGCUUCUUAUCAUCUUUUAUAUAGUUGAUAACAUGCUGGGCUCCCAUGGAUUAAUUUCAUGAGAAUUCAGUAGAACCUUGAAAACUGCAUAGAUUAGAAAGAAUAAAGCAUCUCAUGGAUGCAUAAUUCUGUUUUUAUAAUUUAGCCUUAAAACUAAAUUAUUAAUACAAGAAUUCAUGUUUAAUUCUUGAGUAAAAGCCGAGCACAAUUGAUUUUUUGAUUGUAUUUAA